AUUGAACGCUGGCGGCAGGCUUAACACAUGCAAGUCGAGCGGAGAUGAGGUGCUUGCACCUUAUCUUAGCGGCGGACGGGUGAGUAAUGCUUAGGAAUCUGCCGAUUAGUGGGGGACAACAUUCCGAAAGGAAUGCUAAUACCGCAUACGUCCUACGGGAGAAAGCAGGGGAUCUUCGGACCUUGCGCUAAUAGAUGAGCCUAAGUCGGAUUAGCAAGUUGGUGGGGUAAAGGCCUACCAAGGCGACGAUCUGUAGCGGGUCUGAGAGGAUGAUCCGCCACACUGGGACUGAGACACGGCCCAGACUCCUACGGGAGGCAGCAGUGGGGAAUAUUGGACAAUGGGGGGAACCCUGAUCCAGCCAUGCCGCGUGUGUGAAGAAGGCCUUAUGGUUGUAAAGCACUUUAAGCGAGGAGGAGGCUACUGAGACUAAUACUCUUGGAUAGUGGACGUUACUCGCAGAAUAAGCACCGGCUAACUCUGUGCCAGCCGCCGCAGUAA
rnacentral:rRNA from 1 species